rnacentral:ncRNA from 3 species
ACAGUCUUUGCUAGGUAAGGACUAACCAUCCACCUAUAUCGAGUGUUGCGCUUUGAAUUGGUAACAAUUCAGGUGAAGUGUACACAGAGAACUUUUUAGGCCAGAGGGAAGACCGUAAUUCCUGAAGCAUAUUGAGCCCCGUUAGUAUCGGGUCCUGGAAACAGGAGAAGAGCAGAUGACGACGUAGUUAACGUUGCGGAAGUCAAUACGAAGGAAUUGUAAAAGGUGAGAUUCCGGAGGGUCUGUCGGGGUCAGAGAACC